CCCUAGCCAUGAUAGAAGCGACAUCCUUUUUAGGCAAACGAAAAUGUCUAGUUCAAACGAAAAAGAACUGCCUAAAAAGAUAUAGCGGAUAGCAGGAAACAGC
rnacentral:sRNA from 1 species